AUGUUGUUGGUCCGGACGGCGACCAUCCCUCUGCGGGUGCGCCAGAUCAAGGCCCAGAACAGGCUUUCUGCAUUGAAGCCAGAAAUCAUAGCAAUCAAUAAGGAAGGAGAUUCAAGGGACCCACAAUCGAGGCAUGAGAGGAGGAAGAAAUUGCGCGAGCUAUUAAAAAAGCAUGGUGUUAGUCGAUUGACACCCUUUAACCAUACAUUCCUCCAGGGGUCUAUAAUUUUAAGCUUUUGCUGUGCUAUACGGAACAUGAUAGAGGAAGUCCCUUCUUUGGAAGGAGGUGGAGCAUAUUGGUUUACUGAUUUGACAACUCCAGAUGAGCUUUACAUCCUGCCGGUGUUGACAUCAAUGACAGUUGCUGCGGACGAGCUCAAUGUGAAGGCGCGCAUCCAGCGACAACCUAUUAUUGUGCAGCAGGUGGGGAAGAACUUGAAUAGAGCACUGGCUUUUCUGAUUAUACCGCUAUCAAUGAUUGUCUGCAAGGCGCAUUUCUUUUGGUGGGUGCCAUGGAGUGCGUUUACUUUUGUGUAUGGAUUUGCUAUUCGGAGGCCAGCCGUGAGGCAUUACUUUGGUCUUCCUCACCUAGCAACACGGCCUGCACCUGCACCUGCACCUGCACCCGCGCAAGUGCCAGCGCCUGACCUUUCCGAGGGGACGGAGUCGAUGCCAGCGCCAACCUCUGCUAACCUUUCCGAAGGGACGGAGCCGAUGCCAGCAGUUGAUUCGCCGCCUGCAGCAGCCAAGGGAUCCGUGCAUUCUAGCUCUGAGCCACGCGACAUGACUGAGAAGAAGAGGCGAACUCCAAGGGUGAUAACUAAUAGAUUGCGCGACGAUUGCUCCUCGAGCGAUGGGCAGUGA
rnacentral:rRNA from 1 species